rnacentral:rRNA from 1 species
AGUGAACGCUGGCGGUAGGCCUAACACAUGCAAGUCGAACGGCAGCACAGUAAGAGCUUGCUCUUACGGGUGGCGAGUGGCGGACGGGUGAGGAAUACAUCGGAAUCUACUUUUUCGUGGGGGAUAACGUAGGGAAACUUACGCUAAUACCGCAUACGACCUACGGGUGAAAGCAGGGGAUCUUCGGACCUUGCGCGAUUGAAUGAGCCGAUGUCGGAUUAGCUAGUUGGCGGGGUAAAGGCCCACCAAGGCGACGAUCCGUAGCUGGUCUGAGAGGAUGAUCAGCCACACUGGAAAUGAGACACGGUCCAGACUCCUACGGGAGGCAGCAGUGGGGAAUAUUGGACAAUGGGCGCAAGCCUGAUCCAGCCAUACCGCGUGGGUGAAGAAGGCCUUCGGGUUGUAAAGCCCUUUUGUUUGGAAAGAAAAGCAGCAGGUUAAUACCCCGCUGUUCUGACGGUACCCAAAGAAUAAGCACCGGCUAACUUCGUG